AGGGAUAAGCUUCCGGCCCUUGGAUCAGGUUUAAUGAGCUUGGACGGCUCAAAUCGUAAACAAUGAUAAACAGUGAUUUAACCCUUAUCUAACCCCAAUUCCUGAACUCAGGCGUGAAAAUGGAUCCUCAAUUCUUUCGAUUUGGCGCUCAGAGAAGAUCGGGAAGCGGAGUGAGAGAACGAUCAAACAGUCCGCUCAAGAGAGAGUAUCAACAACGAUCAAACAGUCCGAUCAGAUUAAGUCAAGGGUUUUCACCCUUUUCUAAGCCUCCAACCCCGAAUUCCCUAUCUCCCCGAUUCGUUCUGGAGAGUAUCAACAACGCUCAGAGAAUUCACCCGACCAAUUCUCAUCUCAAGCACCAUCUAUUUCUUCAACUAAUGGGAUGUUAGCAGUCCCCAUGAGAAAGAAACUAAUGAGAUGUCAGUGCCUCUGGAAUUAAAGACUUCUCGAACUCAAGCUAUCACUCAACACUGAAGUGGGGUAGGUUCUCAUAUGUUGCCUAUUCGUUUGUACUGAUUUGCUCACUAGUAUUUGUUGCCUAAUUUUGAGCAGCUACAGGACGUGACAAGAGAUUCCAAGGUUGAUGAUACUGAGGUUGAAGGGAAGGAUCACAAAGAAUCAGAUGUAUCAAACCCAGAGGAUGAUGUUAAAGAAGCUGAAAGCUAGAUGGGUCUUAUUGUGGAGCAGACAUCAUUUAUGUUUCUUCCUUAAGGAAAGAUGAUUGUAUUGAAUCUCUAUAUGUUGUGUCUGUCUAGUUUUGGAUGCGAACACAACCUUGUUGUCUUACAUUAUGUAGAACUCUUCUGAACCAAAUUAUGUGGAAUUUUGUGUAGUUUUCUAAAUUUGAAGAAUCUUUUGAAG